rnacentral:rRNA from 1 species
AUUGAACGCUGGCGGCAUGCCUUACACAUGCAAGUCGAACGGUAACGGGCCUUCGGGUGCCGACGAGUGGCGAACGGGUGAGUAAUGCAUCGGAACGUACCUUUCAGUGGGGGAUAACGUAGCGAAAGUUACGCUAAUACUGCAUAUUCUGUACGCAGGAAAGCAGGGGAUCGCAAGACCUUGCGCUGAUUGAGCGGCCGAUGUCAGAUUAGCUAGUUGGUGAGGUAAAGGCUCACCAAGGCGACGAUCUGUAGCGGGUCUGAGAGGAUGAUCCGCCACACUGGAACUGAGACACGGUCCAGACUCCUACGGGAGGCAGCAGUGGGGAAUUUUGGACAAUGGGGGCAACCCUGAUCCAGCGACGCCGCGUGGAGGACGAAGCCCUUCGGGGUGUAAACUCCUUUUCUCAGGGAAAAAGGAUGAUGGUACCUGAGGAAUAAGCCCCGGCUAACUACGUG